rnacentral:misc_RNA from 1 species
UGAUCCUGUGCCGGUUGACUUCAGUGCUGUCGAGGUCAUUCAGUGCCUCAUAGAACAUCAUAAUGAAAUUUUUACUGAUGCUAAUGAAACAAUUUGGAGAUAAAUCAGCAGCACCUAUUUCCUCAGGCGCCAAUUAUUCUUGGAUGAAUUCUGAUACAAGUCUAUCUCUUAGAGGAAGAUUUAUAUCCGAGAGUUGUUUUCUUAGUUCAAUUGACCAGGUAGGUAAAUUAAACUUGAA